GGGCCGGUAGCUCAGCGGUAGAGCAACUGACUUUUAAUCAGUAGGUCCCGGGUUCGAACCCCGGCCGGCUCACCA
rnacentral:tRNA from 1 species